UACGAAGGGGGCUAGCGUUGCUCGGAAUUACUGGGCGUAAAGCGCACGUAGGCGGCUUGUUAAGUCGGAGGUGAAAUCCUGGAGCUCAACUCCAGAACUGCCUUCGAUACUGGCGAGCUUGAGUUCGGGAGAGGUGAGUGGAACUGCGAGUGUAGAGGUGAAAUUCGUAGAUAUUCGCAAGAACACCAGUGGCGAAGGCGGCUCACUGGCCCGAUACUGACGCUGAGGUGCGAAAGCGUGGGGAGCGAACAGG
rnacentral:rRNA from 1 species